rnacentral:rRNA from 1 species
GAUGAACGCUGGCGGCGUGCCUAAUACAUGCGAGUCGAGCGAACGGACGAGAAGCUUGCUCCUCUGCUGUUAGCGGCGGACGGGUGAGUAACACGUGGAUCACCUACUUAUAAGUCUGGGAUAACUUCGGGAAACCGGAGCUACUACCGGCUAAUAUUUUGAACCGCAUGGUUCAAAAGUGAAUGACGGUCUUGCUGUCACUUAUAGAUGGAUCCGCGCUGCAUUAGCUAGUUGGUAAGGUAACGGCUUACCAAGGCAACGAUGCAUAGCCGACCUGAGAGGGUGAUCGGCCACACUGGAACUGAGACACGGUCCAGACUCCUACGGGAGGCAGCAGUAGGGAAUCUUCCGCAAUGGGCGAAAGCCUGACGGAGCAACGCCGCGUGAGUGAUGAAGGUCUUCGGAUCGUAAAACUCUGUUAUUAGGGAAGAACAGAUGUGUAAGAAACUGUGCACAUCUUGACGGUACCUAAUCAGAAAGCCACGGCUAACUACGUG